rnacentral:tRNA from 1 species
GUCCAAGUGGCUCAGAGGAUAAGAACACUGACUGGAACUCUUGAGGUCAUAGGUUCGAGUCCUACCUUGCCCA